rnacentral:rRNA from 1 species
AUUGAACGCUGGCGGCAGGCUUAACACAUGUAAGUCGAGCGGGGAAAGGUAGCUUGCUACCUGACCUAGCGGCGGACGGGUGAGUAAUGCUUAGGAAUCUGCCUAUUAGUGGGGGACAACAUUCCGAAAGGAAUGCUAACACCGCAUACGCCCUACGGGGGAAAGCAGGGGAUCUUCGGACCUUGCGCUAAUAGAUGAGCCUAAGUCAGAUUAGCUAGUUGGUGGGGUAAAGGCCUACCAAGGCGACGAUCUGUAGCGGGUCUGAGAGGAUGAUCCGCCACACUGGGACUGAGACACGGCCCAGACUCCUACGGGAGGCAGCAGUGGGGAAUAUUGGACAAUGGGCGAAAGCCUGAUCCAGCCGUGCCGCGUGUGUGAAGAAGGCCUUUUGGUUGUAAAGCACUUUAAGCGAGGAGGAGGCUACCGAGAUUAAUACUCUUGGAUAGUGGACGUUACUCGCAGAAUAAGCACCGGCUAACUCUGUGCCAGCAGCCGCCGUAA